rnacentral:lncRNA from 15 species
CUUCUAUUUGUCUUAAAUUAAAGCUCAAUUGUGAAUGCAUGUACCAUGACCAUUAAUGGGACUUUCCUCCUUGCAAUGUAUGCUCUUUUAAAGCCCGGAACGACAUGCUAAUGAUCCACACCAUUGGUUGGAACCGACUGAAGCAGGAUGGCGUUCAUCUUGCAGUACCCAGCAGAUAUGUCAAGACUUUCCAAAAGGCUCAAGAAGAGUCUCAGAGGCUGGAAGAUUUGAGCAGAGAGCUUGGGUGUCCUGAGAACAUGGUGCAGCAGUGGGUACACGAUGUCAAACAAUGGGCUGCUGAUGGUACUGUAUUUUAUGGCUAAUUUAUUCAGUAAUAAUGUAACAUGAUGAUCAAUUGAAUAACUG